rnacentral:tRNA from 1 species
GAGGACGUGGCGUAAUGGUAGCGCAUUGGAUUUCGGCCCUCCAAAGGCUGCGGGUUCGAGUCCUGUCGUCCUCU